rnacentral:rRNA from 1 species
GACGAACGCUGGCGGCGUGCUUAACACAUGCAAGUCGAACGGAAAGGCCCUGCUUUUGUGGGGUGCUCGAGUGGCGAACGGGUGAGUAACACGUGAGUAACCUGCCCUUGACUUUGGGAUAACUUCACGAAACUGGGGCUAAUACCGGAUAGGAGCUCCUGCUGCAUGGUGGGGGUUGGAAAGUUUCGGCGGUUGGGGAUGGACUCGCGGCUUAUCAGCUUGUUGGUGGGGUAGUGGAUUACCAAGGCUUUGACGGGUAGCCGGCCUGAGAGGGUGGCCGGGGACAUUGGGACUAAGAUACGGACCAGACUGCUACGGGAGGCAGCAGUGGGGAAUAUUGCACAAUGGGCGGAAGCCUGAUGCAGCAGUGCCGCGUGCGGGAUAACGGGCUUUGGGUUGUAAACCGAUGUCGACUGUGACGAAGCGUGAGUGACGGUAAUGGGUAAAGAAGCACCGGCUAACUACGUG